rnacentral:rRNA from 1 species
GACGUAGGGUGCGAGCGUUAUCCGGAUUCACUGGGUUUAAAGGGUGCGUAGGUGGGCAGGUAAGUCAGUGGUGAAAUCUCCGGGCUUAACUCGGAAACUGCCAUUGAUACUAUCUGUCUUGAAUACCGUGGAGGUCAGCGGAAUAUGUCAUGUAGCGGUGAAAUGCUUAGAGAUGACAUAGAACACCAAUUGCGAAGGCAGCUGGCUACACAUAUAUUGACACUGAGGCACGAAAGCGUGGGGAGCGAACAGG